UAGAAAGCAAUUACCAGAAAUAGUCUCCAUGUAUUUGGUCCUACCACAGGACAGGACUGUAGCCCACUGGGCCAGCUUACCUUUGUUAUAUUCACUGCUUGGCAAUAUAUUUUGCUUUAUUAUAUUUAGCAGCAAUGCAAGAAACCUAUAGGUUUUAAUCCUGUAAGACUUCGGUUUUAGCAGUUAACAUCAGGCUUAAGACCUGUAAACUUUGGCAUAGAGAAACUUAAUUAACUCAUAAGUUAUAAAUAACUGGAAGUAGGAUGCAAGGGGGAGUCUUGGGCAUGUGAUAUCCAUUGACCACAGAACAGGAGCUGACAUCAGCUUCUAGAAGGUUCCCAAUGGAACAUCCAACUGCAAAUGCGCCAUGGCAACAAACUGACGUAUAUGAUAAUGGGUUGAAAUCAUAGAUAUACUAGCCUAUAGGAAAAGGACACCUUUGUAUUGGCAAGAGGAGGAAAUACAAAUACGGAAUAAGGGACAGUUACAAAAUCAGAGUGUCUUGUCUCCGCAACACUAGUCAUCACUUUGGAUAGGACAACAAAUCACAGUAGUUGAAAAGAAAAGAACAGCAACAAGAGCAGCUUCUUUGAUCCCAACAACACCUUGCUUGUUGAAAAAAAUCAAAAUCAAAAUCUAGAGAUGGAAUCGGGAGACCCCAACACUCAGACCAUGUUACAAAACACGAAUCUAGUGGAUGAGUCUGCAUAUUGUGCCUUCUCUACAUACAACCCCACUUUUUUAGCAUGAACAACAGUCCCCAAGAGAGCAGCAAAAAAGGUUGCUCCAUGAAUAAUUCAAAAGGAUCUGAGGUAUUAUUAUAGCUUCUUUUGGAAAUACCCUUUUAAAAUAAUUAUUUGUUCUCUAAUGUUCCUGGGCAAAACACAAUUCAGCCCACUAUUUUGUGUAGUAGGCAUAACAUGAUGGUCCAUUGUGACUUGAUGGAACUCCAGUGAAAUGGUAUUGGUGCACAACAUGCCAGAAUUUCAGUGAAAAGAAAACAUGGAAAUAAAUAUGUUCACAAUCUGAGCAUAUUUUAUAUGAAGUUUCCAUGUAUACAUAGUUUAUAAUGGGCCAGUAAGUGAUUAAUGGAAGCUAUAAACAUGAGUAGCAUGUAUUACUGAUGGCAAUUAGCAAAUCAGUUGAACAUGAUAUAUAAUUAUAAUCUGGUGACCUCUUGGAUUCUAUAAUAAUAAGAAUUUAUUAACCAUUUAUUAACAACCAUUACUCAUUUAUUAACCAUUUAUAAGCUGUUUGUGCAUGCAAUAUACAGUAAAACUCCAUUAGUCCGGCACCCAAUA